CGUAGUGACUGCGGAGGAUCAUUACCAAGCUGAGGGGGUGACGAUCUCGGAGGCUGGUGUACACACAAGCCGCUGAGCGGGAGCCGUUGCAAGAUGAGACUCCUCGCCGCGGUGCCUCCCAAGACAAGCCCCCGAACCUUCCACCCUUGUCCACUUGUACCCUUUGUUGCCUCGGCGGGUACGCCCGCCGGAGGACCACACCAAAAACUCUUGUUGUAAACGGCGUCUUGUCUGAGCUAUAGCGAAAGCAAUGGUUUAAAACUUUCAACAACGGAUCUCUUGGUUCUGGCAUCGAUGAAGAACGCAGCGAAAUGCGAUAAGUAGUGUGAAUUGCAGAAUUCAGUGAAUCAUCGAAUCUUUGAACGCACAUUGCGCCCCUUGGUAUCCCGAGGGGCAUGCCUGUUCGAGCGUCAUUAUCACCGAUCAAGCCUGGCUUGGUGUUGGGUGCCGUCCCGCCCUCUGCGGCGUGGACGCUCCCUAAAACUAUCGGCGGUGCAGCACCGGCUUCGAGCGUAGCAGACCUUCGCUUUCUGGGCCCGGUGCGGCAGCGGCCGCGACGCAGCAACCUAAAGGUUGACCUCGGAUCAGGUAGGGAUACCCGCUGAACUUAAGCAUAUCAAA
rnacentral:rRNA from 1 species